rnacentral:tRNA from 1 species
GCCUUCGUGGUAUAGUGGUCAGCACGUUCGAGGCUUAACCGAGAGGUCCGUGGUUCGAUUCCCGGUGAAGGCG